GUACUGGUCCCCCGUGGGAAUCGAACCCAAAACCCUGGCGUUGCAAACACCAUGCUCUACCAACUGAGCCACAGGAAAGCAUCAAGGGGAGAGGCUGUCCUUUCUUCUUCUUGAGACAGCAUGUAAACACUCACUAUGUCAAGGGCGGGGCCCUGAUUGCGUCCAAGGACGUCCUGAUUGGUUGGAAUUGGUAAGUGAUUGACAUAGGAAAGUGAUUGACAGACCUGAAGGCCAAUCAGAUUGAUAGGGCCGGCAUUUAUUUUUUAUAUAAUUCGGGAAAGGCUGUUGUGAACCAAUUGCAGAUACGGCAGCAGGCUAGUGAAACAACGCUAUUGGACUAGAGACACUCGAAUGAUCGGCUUUGAAUUGUAUAGUGAACGAGUGGGUGAAUGACUGAGUGAGCUAUAGGAACGAAAUAUACAGUUAGGAGCCUACUGAUGAUUUGAUUGGAUAGAUGAUGAGACUGGUGAUCAGAAAGAAGUAAAUGUAUUUUUAUGAAUAAGAGACGGAGCGAGGAGAGGAUUGCACAUCUGGAUAUGUUGGUAUUCGUCACUCGAUAUUUUCAGCAAAUUAAUUGAACAACAUAUUUUGUUGUACAACGCUGUCUGGAAAACAUCUCCCUUCCCUCAGUCAAAAGAAUCGCAGGUUAGCGUUUUUUGUCAUGAAUGUUGUUCUGGAGGCAGCUCUGCAGAAUGGUCACUAGUUUGCACAGUCACAGUCAUCAAAUCAGAUUUUAAACCCAACCCUGAUCUUAAAUUAAGACCAAAAAAGCUUUUUGUUUUCAUUAAUUUUUUAAUGUAGCCAAUUUUGACUUUGCAGCUGGCUUAUUUGGUGGAAAUCUAUCAGAUCUGCCUCCAGGACAAGACUCAUCCCAGUAAACAUCAAGCUGCAGAAGAGUCACACCAUUUCACCAUGUAGGUGUGACUUGGCUCAGACAGCAUCAUCUGAUUCUGAUUCCAUUCCCUGACUUCCUCUCUGUACGUUGCAUUUGACUGGUCCUCAGUGUGCUUCAGUUGGACAGACUGGACAGAGCGUAGCUGACACAGCGACGGUGUGAG
rnacentral:lncRNA from 8 species